rnacentral:misc_RNA from 1 species
ACCGACGACGGCGACUACAACAUCAAGAUGCGCAACAUCCGGCGCUUUCUUGAAGAAGGCGACAAAUGCAAGAUCACGCUGCGCUUCCGCGGCCGCGAGAUCACGCACCAGGAACUGGGCCUGGCGCUGUUGCAGCGCAUCCGGGACGACCUUGGCGACACCAUCCUCGUCGAGCAGUUCCCCAAGCUCGAGGGCCGGCAGAUGAUCAUGAUGAUCGCUCCGGGCCGCAAGAAGCCGGGUGCCGCUGGGGUUGCCAAGCCGGCCGGCGAGCCGGUUGCCAGCACGGCCACGACGGCCUGA